ACGGAGCCAGGAGAGCUUGCUCUCUGGGUGGCGAGUGGCGGACGGGUGAGGAAUACAUCGGAAUCUACUUUUUCGUGGGGGAUAACGUAGGGAAACUUACGCUAAUACCGCAUACGACCUACGGGUGAAAGCAGGGGAUCUUCGGACCUUGCGCGAUUGAAUGAGCCGAUGUCGGAUUAGCUAGUUGGCGGGGUAAAGGCCCACCAAGGCGACGAUCCGUAGCUGGUCUGAGAGGAUGAUCAGCCACACUGGAACUGAGACACGGUCCAGACUCCUACGGGAGGCAGCAGUGGGGAAUAUUGGACAAUGGGCGCAAGCCUGAUCCAGCCAUACCGCGUGGGUGAAGAAGGCCUUCGGGUUGUAAAGCCCUUUUGUUGGGAAAGAAAUCCAGCUGGCUAAUACCCGGUUGGGAUGACGGUACCCAAAGAAUAAGCACCGGCUAACUUCGUGCCAGCAGCCGCGGUAAUACGAAGGGUGCAAGCGUUACUCGGAAUUACUGGGCGUAAAGCGUGCGUAGGUGGUCGUUUAAGUCCGUUGUGAAAGCCCCUGGGCUCAACCUGGGAACUGCAGUGGAUACUGGGCGACUAGAGUGUGGUAGAGGGUAGCGGAAUUCCUGGUGUAGCAGUGAAAUGCUUAGAGAUCAGGAGGAACAUCCAUGGCGAANGCAGUCUACCUGGACCCACAUUGACNCUGAGGCACGAAAGCGUG
rnacentral:rRNA from 1 species